rnacentral:rRNA from 1 species
AUUGAACGCUGGCGGAAUGCUUUACACAUGCAAGUCGAACGGUAGAGGGGGCAACCCCUUGAGAGUGGGCGAACGGGUGAGUAAUAUAUCGGAACGUGCCCAGUCGUGGGGAUAACGUAGCGAAAGUUACGCUAAUACCGCAUACGAUCUAAGGAUGAAAGCGGGGGACUCGCAAGACCUCGCGCGAUUGGAGCGGCCGAUAUCAGAUUAGGUAGUUGGUGAGGUAAAGGCUCACCAAGCCGACGAUCUGUAGCUGGUCUGAGAGGACGACCAGCCACACUGGGACUGAGACACGGCCCAGACUCCUACGGGAGGCAGCAGUGGGGGAAUUUUGGACAAUGGGCGCAAGCCUGAUCCAGCAAUGCCGCGUAGC